rnacentral:rRNA from 1 species
AGAGUUUGAUCCUGGCUCAGAGUGAACGCUGGCGGUAGGCCUAACACAUGCAAGUCGAACGGCAGCACAGUAAGAGCUUGCUCUUACGGGUGGCGAGUGGCGGACGGGUGAGGAAUACAUCGGAAUCUACUUUUUCGUGGGGGAUAACGUAGGGAAACUUACGCUAAUACCGCAUACGACCUACGGGUGAAAGCAGGGGAUCUUCGGACCUUGCGCGAUUGAAUGAGCCGAUGUCGGAUUAGCUAGUUGGCGGGGUAAAGGCCCACCAAGGCGACGAUCCGUAGCUGGUCUGAGAGGAUGAUCAGCCACACUGGAACUGAGACACGGUCCAGACUCCUACGGGAGGCAGCAGUGGGGAAUAUUGGACAAUGGGCGCAAGCCUGAUCCAGCCAUACCGCGUGGGUGAAGAAGGCCUUCGGGUUGUAAAGCCCUUUUGUUGGGAAAGAAAUCCAGCUGGUUAAUACCCGGUUGGGAUGACGGUACCCAAAGAAUAAGCACCGGCUAACUUCGUGCCAGCAGCCGCGGUAAUACGAAGGGUGCAAGCGUUACUCGGAAUUACUGGGCGUAAAGCGUGCGUAGGUGGUCGUUUAAGUCUGUUGUGAAAGCCCUGGGCUCAACCUGGGAACUGCAGUGGAAACUGGAUGACUAGAGUGUGGGUAGAGGGUAGCGGAAUUCCUGGUGUAGCAGUGAAAUGCGUAGAGAUCAGAGGAACAUCCAUGGCGAAGCAGCUACCUGGACCAACACUGACACUGAGGCACGAAAGCGUGGGGAGCAAACAGGA